AAUCAUUGAUCAGGACAUUCAGAUGAUAUUAUCAGAGUGAAGGACUGAAUAGGACGUUGUGAUGAUAUUAUCAGAGUGAUUCUUGAUUAGGACGUUGUGAUAAUAUUAUCAGAGUCAAUUCCUUGAUCAGGACGUUGUGAUGAUGUUACCAGAGUGAAUCCUUGACAAGGACAUUUUGAUGAUUUUACCAGAGUGAAUCCUUGAUUAGGACUUUGUGAUGAUAUUAUCAGAGUGAUUCCUUGAUCAGGGCGUUCGGGUGAUAUCAGUGUGAAUCCUUGAUUAGGAUAAUGUGAUGAUAUCAGAGUGUAUCCUUGAUAAAGACAACCUUAUCAUUUCAUCAGAGCACAUCCUUUAUUAUGACAUUCUGAUGAGGGAAUCCAUUCUGAUGAUGUCAGAAUAUGUCCUUUACUAUAACAUUCUGAUGAUAUUAUGAGAGUGAAUCAUUCAUUAGGACAUUCUAGUGGUAUCAUCAGAGUAUGUCCUAGCUAUAACAUUCUGAUAAUAUUAUGAGAGUGAAUCAUUCAUUAGGACAUUCUGACCUGACCAUCAGAGUGUAUUCGUAAAAGGACAUUUUCAUCCUGACAUCAGGGUAUGUCCUUGAUUAUACCCUGAUGAUAUGACCAGGGUGUAUCACUGAUCAUAUAUUGUGAUCAUAUCAUCAGAACAUAUACAUGGCUAGGUGCACAUACCAUAGUCGAUACUUGUCGUUAAACAUUAUACCAUAUGAACAUAUCUGGAAGAGGGAGAGAAGGAGAAACGAUGUAGAGAUAAUGCGGGAAAGAAAGGGGUAAACGUCGAAUUGAAGGAGAGAAUAUGGGAACGGUCGGAGGGAGGGUUUGAUUGGAAGGAAAAUAGUGUGAACGAAAUGGGAGACGGUGGGAAAGGAAUUAGAGAGGGUUGGGACGGAUGGAGUGAGGGAGUUUAGGGAAGGGGAAAAGGCGAGAAUAUGAGAAAGGAAAGAAGGAAAAGGAAGAGGAGGAUGUGAACGGACGGGAAGAGCGAUUGAUGUCAAGUUGUUGGUAACCUUUACGACGUUUCCAAAUAUCGUUAGAAAUGUUACAGAUUCUUCCAUUAUACCGAUAUGCACUCCAAGAACGUAUAACACGCUUGUAUACACGUAGUGCUCUAAAUAGGAUCAGUUGAUAUGCUGUCUAUAAUGCUGAAGUUUAGUUAGAAGAAUCGCUCAUGGUCAGGAUAGUUACGUCUUAUUAACUUUGAACAAUUUCAUAGUAUAGACUUAUGAUUACCGCGAACAAUAUUACUAUUUUGUCGAUAUCGGUGUUAUUUAGCAUGCAUCUAGGUACCACGCCUUAUCGCCUUAUUGCUACAUCACACGGCUUUCUUUAUGACACCUCUUGCUUCCACUGUAGUUAGCAGACAUAUAUGUGCCAAAUUCUGCAAGUGUAAUUACAUGUGAUUGAAACUAGAAAGUAUUAUAUUCCAUGUACAUAGAAUACCGUCAAUCUUUAUUGUGCAGAUAGAAUGGUUAUGUAGGUGUGAGAUGCCAGUCACCCAGUAGAGCACGUAUUACACACAUGAUUCUAUAUAGAACUGUUCAGCAGGUGUUGCCUGUUCAGCAAAUUGUAUUACUCAUAGCUUUGCAGAUGCACUGGACUGGGUCUUCCUGUGAUCACCUGCCAGCACGUGAUUCAUUGUGUGGUACAUAGUCUAUGUAGAAUGUUACCUUCAUUGACGUCAGGCUAUUGUUACAUCGGCCUUGUAGCGGAUUCAUAUCCUGUCACCUGUUCAAAGCUGAUAAAAAUAUUAAUAUAAUUUAUUAUCGUGUAACAGGCUGGAGGCUGUAUUCAGUACGCUCUGCUACACAUAUGUUGAAAUGACACAUCUAAAAUUAAUGCCCUGAAUACCAAAAUAAUGUGGCAAUUUGUAAUCUAUUCUUUGAUCUUGUGUUUGGUACGGAUGAAAUCUUUACAUCUGAACCGUUCUCUGAAAUCUAUGAAUACAGACAGAAUCUUUUCAAAUAAUAUUGUCCGGAUUAGCGAGGUUCCAGACUAACAGGGGCGGUGGGGUAGCCUAGUGGUUAAAGCGUUCGCUCGUCACGCCGAAGAUGCGGGUUCGAUUCGUCACGUGGGUACAAUGUGUGAAGCCCAUUUAUGGUGUCCCCCGCCAUGAUAUUGCUGGAAAAUUGCUGAAAAGGCGUAAAACCAUACUCACUCCAAACUAACAAAUAAUAAUAUUUCUGUAGUGCCCUUUUGGAUGUAUGAUGAUUUAAACAGCUCGGACUUCAGGAUUUGCUGUUUGUUCAUGUACCCAUAUACAGUAGAACAUCCAUGUCUGUCUCAACAUGUGCUAACAUCCUUGGUCAACAUGACCCCAUGGUGUCAGACACCAUGACAGCAGCCGUGGUCAUAUCCUGACCAGCACAGUUGGCCAACAUGACCCUAUGGUGUCAGACACCAUCACAACAGCAGUGGUCAUAUCCUGACCAGGACCGUUGGUCAACAUGACCCCAUGGUGCCAGAAACCAUGACAACAGCCGUGGCCAUAUCCCGACCAGUACCGUUGGUCAACAUGACCCCAUGGUGUCAGACACCUUCAUAACAGCCGUGGUCAUAUACUAACCAGCACAGUUGCCCAACAUGACCCUAUGGUGUCAGAAACCAUCACAACAGACGUGGUCAUAAACUGCGUCAAAACAUGGAAACAUCAGACAUUUGUUAAUUUCUGUCUGAGAAUUCGUAAACUAUUUGUUUCAUGGUAAUAGACUCAUUUGCUUUUAUCUAAGUAGUCGCCAUGUAUGUGCUCAUAGAAACAUCAUUUCUUUGUUAAUUUUUGUCAAAAAAUUUCACAAACUAUGUGUUCUUUGGAACAUCAGACUCGACUCAUUUGUCUUUUGUCUAGGAAUUCGCAAAGUAUGUGUUCAUGUUUGUCAAACUUUUGGUGUAUUACUGGACGUCUCAACUGACGUCAAUGUUUCCACGAAACUAUGCCACUCAUAUGCAUAUGCCUAUACAGGCGCCUCUGUAUGUAACAUCUUUCAGAAUGGUUUGUUUUAUCUGACUGUUCGUCUUAUGCGAUUUCGUUACAAGCAGAGUUGGCUGUAUCCAUAUCCUCUCAACAGCUGUCAAAACUACAAGAUGCAUUAUAACUCAGCACAAGGACGAGACAGAUUACUGCUCAACGAGUAGAGGUACUAAGUGUUGGACCAAGCAACGAAUGUAGACAAUGUGUGCACAACGGUAGACACGUAGAAUGUAAAGUAUAGGUCAUUUGAUGUUCCCUAGUUUGUUGGGGAUGUAUUGGUGUUUCUGUGUAUGUUUGAUCCAAUGUUGUAUUUGUGUCAUCUAGAUCUCCUCACAGGGUCAUCCAGAAUCUACCGCUUCUCUUUUCCGAGGUGAAGGUCAUUACAUUGACGUUUAAUUAUCUUCUCAUAAUCACUGAUCAUUUUAGCGUGUUUUGUUGACUUUUGAUUAUCUUUGUAUCUCACAAGGUAUUCACUAACCCAAGCCCAAGGGAGGCUAUAUUUCACAAAGCGAACUUAUAACAGUAAUUUCACAAGGUGAAAUUAAUUAUUGAUCUCUAGAACUGGCAGGUCUGUCACUUCACGACCUCCAGCAAAACCUUCACAAUGUGAACAAACUGAAGCUGCUCCAUCACAAAGGGAGAUGAGUAUAUGAAAUUGUCAAGUCUUUCGCAAGGGUCACUAAAUGUUGCAAGUCGUUCUCAACUUAAAGUGUGUAGAACUCGACAAUGCAAACGUAGUUCACUCGAAACGUGAUCUACACAUGUAGUCAAUCACCAACUGAAGAUAAUUUCGCAAUCAGUUUGAAGUGAACAUGUUAAAUCUUUGUUGAGGCAAUGGUUGCUGAGUUGUAAACUAGCAACCGCUGAACAGCACCAAGCACUUAGUGCUGUCGCUAAUAAUCUGAAUAGCAACAGAGUGCAUAACGACUCAGUGAAUAAACACAGUGAUUGGAUUCACUAUACAUAUGUGUAAACAGUCAUGCAGUGAGCCCUGUUAAACCGGACUGUUUCAGGUGAAAUUGUCGUUAUACACAGGGUAGAUAAUGAUAGCUAUGGAUGAAAGUUCCUUUAUGUAGACACACACAAACACAGCCAUACAAAUAGCCUGUCUAUAUAGGCACAUAGGUGUGUGUGUCUGUAUGUGAAGGGACUUUAAUACAUAACCAUCUGUAUAUAUAUAUAUAUAUGGUAUGUAUAUAUCGUCUAACAGUUACCAUCCUAAGGUUACCGGAUUAACGGGGUUUAAUUCACUUCUCCAGUUACCAUGGUGAUCUCAAAACCGGGAACUGUUCGUUAGAUAAGAUUAGUCAUCACAAGACCUAUGUCUUGGCCAGACAGAGUUAACCACUACCUGCCUGCGAAGUGCGUUGCCUGUAUGUUAAGUUUCUGUUUGUGGCUAGGAACUGAUGUCAUUUCUACUCAUGAUUGUUGCUGUUUCCAGCUGUUGAUGUUAACGCUGACAUUUCCACUGUUACCUUUGCCGCUGUUACAUGACCCAUGUUGUGACUCCCGUGAUCACUGUUUCCUCGGUCGGCUUCAUAUAUGCAGCAUAUAUCUUUGUAAUUUUUGUAUAUUUUAUACACACUAUUAUGAAUAAAUUAUCCUUUAUUUAUUAUUUGUAAA